UACCUAGGGACCAAGCGUUGUUCGGAUUUACUGGGCGUAAAGGGCGCGUAGGCGGCAUGACAAGUCACUUGUGGAAUCUCCGGGCUUAACUCGGAACGGCCAAGUGAUACUGUCACGCUAGAGUGCAGAAGGGGCAAUCGGAAUUCUUGGUGUAGCGGUGAAAUGCGUAGAUAUCAAGAGGAACACCUGAGGUGAAGACGGGUUGCUGGGCUGACACUGACGCUGAGGCGCGAAAGCCAGGGGAGCAAACGGG
rnacentral:rRNA from 1 species